UCGAUUAGAGUUUGAUCAUGGCUCAGGACGAACGCUGGCGGCGUGCCUAACACAUGCAAGUCUUGGGAGAAAGAGGUAGCAAUAUCUUGAGUAAACCGGCGCAAGGGUGAGUAACACGUAGGUAAUCUACCUAGAGGACGGGAAUAACUUCGAGAAAUCGAGGCUAAUGCCCGAUGAUAUUCUGAUACAGCAUUGUAUUAGAAUCAAAGCCGUAAGGUGCCUUUAGAUGAACCUGCGUCCCAUUAGGUAGUUGGUGAGGUAACGGCUCACCAAGCCCACGAUGGGUAGCUGGUCUGAGAGGACGAUCAGCCACACUGGAACUGAGACACGGUCCAGACUCCUACGGGAGGCAGCAGUGAGGAAUAUUGCGCAAUGCCCGAAAGGGUGACGCAGCGACGCCGCGUGGAGGAUGAAGGCCCUACGGGUCGUAAACUCCUUUUAUGAGGGAAUAAUUUCUCGCUAUAGGCGAGAUUGAAUGUACCUCAAGAAAAAGCAUCGGCUAACUACGUGCCAGCAGCCGCGGUAAUACGUAGGAUGCUAGCGUUGUCCGGAUUUACUGGGUGUAAAGGGAGCGCAGGCGGGUUGGUAAGUCGGUGGUGAAAUUUUCGGGCUUAACCCGAAGACUGCCAUCGAUACUGCUAAUCUUGAGUGCAGAANANGUUG
rnacentral:rRNA from 1 species